GCUUGCGAGGGCGUAUGGUGGAUGCCUUGGCAGACAGUACCGAUGAAGGACGUUUGAGGAUGCGAUAAUCCUAGGGGAGCCUCCAACAUGGCUUUGAUCCUAGGGUCUCCGAAUGGGGGAACCCGCCGGCCGUCAUGGGCCGGCACCGCACAUUGUUGCGGGGGGUACGCAGGGAAGUGAAACAUCUCAGUACCUGCAGGAAGG
rnacentral:rRNA from 1 species